rnacentral:lncRNA from 1 species
AGUGUACCUUUUAAAUAACUAAUAUUCACUUCUGUAUAACAUGAUUAUGAAGCUACUUGCAUAUCCCUUUCUCAGACGAUCACCCAUCCCACCUUGAUAACUUUCACUAAACCAGUCAUUUUGUCUUGCUCACGGAUUCAAAUUCUUCCAUACACCAAAUGCAGCCUAAUCAAUAUAUCACAAAUUAGAAAAAACAGAAUUCAAACACAUAAUAAGUUAAUGAACAAAGAUCAAAUCUAUUUGAAUAAACUAUAUACGUAGAAAAUUUAUGAAUAGAUUUCUGGUGCAUCAAGCGCCGCCUCAACUGUCUGAUUCGAGAUGCCGAACACUAUAAGAUAGUUUCUGAAUAACAUAUCAAACAUACUGAACAGAAUAAUACCUUUCCUGAACAAACUAACAAAUAUUCUGAAUAAUAUCUUCUACUUACUGAAUAACUUAACAAAUGCACCGAUCACAUAAUAAUUAUCUAAUACCCAAUUAAUAAAAAUAGCUUACGAAUAACUCAACAAACAUACUGAACAACAACACGAUAUAUACUAAAUAAACUCAAUAAUCAUCCAAAAAUGAUUCAAAAUUCUCAAAUAGUACGCAUUUCCCAGUCUGAAACAUAUUCAACAAUUUUUUCAGAAUGAAAUAGAGUCAGCAAAAUCCACAGAAUAUUCAAAAUAAAUCUGAAAAAAAAAAUCAAAACUUUAUUCUCAUAAAUAAAAGAACCAUAUCGAGACAAACCUAAAAAUCAAAGUUCUUAGAUGUUCGUCGGUUCGAACCGCCACGAUUAUCAGUAUUUCGCUGAUAAACAACCAUCGUCGAGCACUGCUUUCACCGAAGUU